rnacentral:ncRNA from 1 species
AUUCAAGGUUGAUUUUUAGAACAGUGUUCAGUUGACCGUUUAAGAAUUAGAAAUUAAAAUGAUUCUGCAAUUUGAUAUUCGAAAAAGCAUAAGAAGGUUCAGCUCCGCGGUAGCUCAGCGGUAGAGCGGCUCCCUGUCGAGAUAAUGGCAGCCCCAGGCAGUAAUGUUUGGAGGAAAAACCGGGCUAAUUCGGGGAACUCUUGUAUAAAGACAAUCCCGAGCUAAAUUCGCCCCAGGGCGAUAAACGUGUAGAGACUAUAUACCCGGGCCCCUUAGAAAAAGGGACAUGAGAUAGUCCAGCCCCCUUGGCGACAAGGGA